GCCCGCCUAGCUCAAUCGGAUAGAGCGUCAGACUCUUAUGAGCUGUAGAAUCAGAGGCUGAUCUGAAGGCUGCGAGUUCGACCCUCGCGGUGGGCU
rfam:Dichomitus squalens LYAD-421 SS1 unplaced genomic scaffold DICSQscaffold_74, whole genome shotgun sequence.